UACGAAGGGGGCUAGCGUUGUUCGGAUUUACUGGGCGUAAAGCGCACGUAGGCGGAUUGUUAAGUCGGGGGUGAAAUCCUGGAGCUCAACUCCAGAACUGCCUUCGAUACUGGCAAUCUCGAGUCCGGAAGAGGUAAGUGGAACUCCUAGUGUAGAGGUGGAAUUCGUAGAUAUUAGGAAGAACACCGGUGGCGAAGGCGGCCCACUGGUCCG
rnacentral:rRNA from 1 species